CCAUCAACAAUAGUCUUUGUCAUCCCAGUUUGGGAAAGAUCCAUCCCAGUUUGACAGAAUUUGGAUUAGUAGCAUCAAGCUCACUAGAUUGAUUCUGUUGCAUAAUGGUUCUUAAAUCAUCCAUACCAAAUUCAUCCAAAACAGAUUUGGGCACAGAAAAAUCUGUUUCAUCAAACACAACAUGUAUAGAUUCUUCAACUGCAAGCAAUCUUUUGUUAUACACUCUAUAAGCAUGACCAUUUAUA
rnacentral:lncRNA from 1 species